rnacentral:rRNA from 1 species
CUACGAAAGGUGCAAGCGUUGUUCGGAUUUACUGGGCGUAAAGAGAGUGUAGGUUGUUUAUUAAGUCGGAUGUUAAAUCCCGGGGCUCAACCUCGGAACUGCAUUCGAUACUGGUAGACUAGAGUUCGGGAGGGGUAAGCGGAAUUCCGCGUGUAGCAGUGAAAUGCGUAGAUAUGCGGAGGAACACCUGAGGCGAAGGCGGCUUACUGGACCGAUACUGACACUGAGACUCGAAAGCGUGGGUAGCAAACAGGAUUAGAAACCCUAGUAGUCC